CGAGCUGUCCCCCAACCCACCUUUGAGAAUAUGAACUGGAGACUCACCUGCCCUAACCGCUGAUGCUUCCCAGGCCGAACAACUUAACCCUCGGACCAGCCCUACUAAAGGGCUUUGGGAAUGCAAGCAUCCUCCCCCCCCUCCCGCGGCUCGUGGUAUGUUCCAACAAAACAAAACGACGCGCAGAGAAAAUGGAACGUCACAAGGGCGCCACUUCCUGGUCCUGCGGAACGGACCAAGCUCUCUGCUGCCAUCUAUAGUUCCUGCGAUGGGAUCGUGCUGUCAAUUGAAAGCUUUGGGGCUUAAAAAAAUACCCACUUAUGUAUACAUUAAAAAUACCUAAAGGUUUUUUUU